GGGGAUUCAGAAUUAAGUAAUCGAAAAAUAUUAUCCUUUAAACGGCUUUCAAAAACAAAAUCAAUUUUAAAAAGAAACGAGAAAAAGACUUUUAACCAGAAAAGGGAAAUGAUUUGGAAAAUGGUAAAAUUUGGGAGUAGCCCAAAUACAAUUGUAUCAUUGUUUUUAAAUCAGCCUAUUUUCUUUCAAGCAAAUUCUUCAAUUUGAUUUUCACUUCUCCCAAACAAUAAAAUCUCUCCCAAUUUCAAAGGAAACCAUCAAGAACAACAUCAUUUCUUCAUUCGUUUCCUAUAGGAUUUUCACGAAAUUCAAUCUCCAAUUCAUUUUCCUUCUCGAAUCAAGAAAAAUAAUGCAAUCAGGAAGUGUGAAGUGGGUAAGGAAGUGAUUUGCACAAGGCAUUAUAGUUGAGUAUGUUUUUAUGGUUUUGAAAAUUUUGAAUAAAGGCAAUGUGGUUGUUAUUUUGGGACUAGUCUCAUGGAUUGUUGAUAAUGUUUUGGACUUUGAUUGUGGAUAUUUUAAUGGUUGGGAAUGAGAUUGAGGAUGUAUGUGAUGUUUUCUUGAUAAAUAUAUAAUAAAGUGGCAUGUAAAAUGGUUAAAAA